rnacentral:lncRNA from 1 species
UUGAUUAGGAGAGUAUGUGGCUUUGGAAAUAUUUUAUUAUUUUUUUUUUUUGAGAGAUAGGUAGCACGCUACCCGCUUCGUUUAUUUCAUUUAGAAAUAAACUUAGCUGAAAAUAUGAAUCAAUUAGGAUUUGAACUUGUAACAAUACUUACUUUGUAACAAUGUUGCGUACACAAAAGAUCUACACCAAGAUAAUCCAAUUACGUUGUAUGUGCUUGUAAUUGGUAAAGAUGUUAAAAGAAAUGUUUUUGAGUGCUUUUAUUUAAGAAGUGAGUGUUUAAUUUGUUAUUAUUAACCGAGGAAUUUUGGUUAGAGAAAGCUUUUUCCGUAUUUUGUAAUUUGCACCAUAUAUACAGCCAAAAGUUAUUGCGGAUUUAAAUUUAAAUAAUCAAAUAUGAUUUAUACUAAAAGUUUGAGCAUAACUCUUUUGCAAAACAAGUUUUUUGACUUGUCUAUGUUGUGUUACCUCUCUUUUGGGUUCUUUUUUUUUUCCCCCACUUAUUCAUUUUUUCUUAUUUUCUUUAGAAAUAAAAUUAACUAAAAAUUUUAUUCAACUAAACUCAAACUUGAGAUAUUGGAUACUAACCAUCCAAUCCUUUGCGAUCUCCUCUAGGGAUAGUCGGUAGUUCGAGCGUUCUAGUUUUUACAAGAUUAAUAAUUAUUAUUAUUGUUUACACUCUGAAUUUAAUAAAGUCUAUCACUUAAUCAAUUACUACCUCCACCUAUGAAAAAAGUCUUAUAUGUCAUAAUUAUUCUAUAUAAAAAUAAUAAUAUUUAAUCAAAAAAUUGUACAUUAAGUACAAUAAUAAUAUCUCUUUAAACAUUAUCUUAUUAUAAAAUUAUUAUAUUAUUCUUAAUUAAACUUUUUAUUACCGAUCCCAC